AGUGAACGCUGGCGGUAGGCCUAACACAUGCAAGUCGAACGGCAGCACAGUGAGAGCUUGCUCUUACGGGUGGCGAGUGGCGGACGGGUGAGGAAUACAUCGGAAUCUACUUUUUCGUGGGGGAUAACGUAGGGAAACUUACGCUAAUACCGCAUACGACCUACGGGUGAAAGCAGGGGAUCUUCGGACCUUGCGCGAUUGAAUGAGCCGAUGUCGGAUUAGCUAGUUGGCGGGGUAAAGGCCCACCAAGGCGACGAUCCGUAGCUGGUCUGAGAGGAUGAUCAGCCACACUGGAACUGAGACACGGUCCAGACUCCUACGGGAGGCAGCAGUGGGGAAUAUUGGACAAUGGGCGCAAGCCUGAUCCAGCCAUACCGCGUGGGUGAAGAAGGCCUUCGGGUUGUAAAGCCCUUUUGUUGGGAAAGAGAAGCAGCAGGUUAAUACCCCGCUGUUCUGACGGUACCCAAAGAAUAAGCACCGGCUAACUUCGUG
rnacentral:rRNA from 1 species